AGCACUUUUGUGGCUUGUACAUGGACACUCAUCUUCAUUUCUUGGACUCUGAGCCUCAAUUUCUCAUUCAAGUGGAGAAAGCAUAUAACAAGAAUAUGUAAUGGACAUCCUACCUACAAUUUUCGGUGUAAGAGUUACAGCAAGUAAAGUUAAUCAGGAUAAGAUCAAGACAUUCCAGCACCCAGAAGCCUCCUGCCUGUUCCAGACCAACACCAUCUCCAAAGAUAACUACUACUCUGACUUCUAUUGCCAUAGCUUUGCCUGAUUUUGAACUUCAUGUGAAUGGAA